GGUUAAGCGACUAAGCGUACACGGUGGAUGCCCUGGCAGUCAGAGGCGAUGAAGGACGUGCUAAUCUGCGAUAAGCGUCGGUAAGGUGAUAUGAACCGUUAUAACCGGCGAUUUCCGAAUGGGGAAACCCAGUGUGUUUCGACACACUAUCAUUAACUGAAUCCAUAGGUUAAUGAGGCGAACCGGGGGAACUGAAACAUCUAAGUACCCCGAGGAAAAGAAAUCAACCGAGAUUCCCCCAGUAGCGGCGAGCGAACGGGGAGCAGCCCAGAGCCUGAAUCAGUGUGUGUGUUAGUGGAAGCGUCUGGAAAGGCGCGCGAUACAGGGUGACAGCCCCGUACACAAAAAUGCACAUGCUGUGAGCUCGAUGAGUAGGGCGGGACACGUGGUAUCCUGUCUGAAUAUGGGGGGACCAUCCUCCAAGGCUAAAUACUCCUGACUGACCGAUAGUGAACCAGUACCGUGAGGGAAAGGCGAAAAGAACCCCGGCGAGGGGAGUGAAAAAGAACCUGAAACCGUGUACGUACAAGCAGUGGGAGCACGCUUAGGCGUGUGACUGCGUACCUUUUGUAUAAUGGGUCAGCGACUUAUAUUCUGUAGCAAGGUUAACCGAAUAGGGGAGCCGAAGGGAAACCGAGUCUUAACUGGGCGUUAAGUUGCAGGGUAUAGACCCGAAACCCGGUGAUCUAGCCAUGGGCAGGUUGAAGGUUGGGUAACACUAACUGGAGGACCGAACCGACUAAUGUUGAAAAAUUAGCGGAUGACUUGUGGCUGGGGGUGAAAGGCCAAUCAAACCGGGAGAUAGCUGGUUCUCCCCGAAAGCUAUUUAGGUAGCGCCUCGUGAAUUCAUCUCCGGGGGUAGAGCACUGUUUCGGCAAGGGGGUCAUCCCGACUUACCAACCCGAUGCAAACUGCGAAUACCGGAGAAUGUUAUCACGGGAGACACACGGCGGGUGCUAACGUCCGUCGUGAAGAGGGAAACAACCCAGACCGCCAGCUAAGGUCCCAAAGUCAUGGUUAAGUGGGAAACGAUGUGGGAAGGCCCAGACAGCCAGGAUGUUGGCUUAGAAGCAGCCAUCAUUUAAAGAAAGCGUAAUAGCUCACUGGUCGAGUCGGCCUGCGCGGAAGAUGUAACGGGGCUAAACCAUGCACCGAAGCUGCGGCAGCGACGCUUAUGCGUUGUUGGGUAGGGGAGCGUUCUGUAAGCCUGCGAAGGUGUGCUGUGAGGCAUGCUGGAGGUAUCAGAAGUGCGAAUGCUGACAUAAGUAACGAUAAAGCGGGUGAAAAGCCCGCUCGCCGGAAGACCAAGGGUUCCUGUCCAACGUUAAUCGGGGCAGGGUGAGUCGACCCCUAAGGCGAGGCCGAAAGGCGUAGUCGAUGGGAAACAGGUUAAUAUUCCUGUACUUGGUGUUACUGCGAAGGGGGGACGGAGAAGGCUAUGUUGGCCGGGCGACGGUUGUCCCGGUUUAAGCGUGUAGGCUGGUUUUCCAGGCAAAUCCGGAAAAUCAAGGCUGAGGCGUGAUGACGAGGCACUACGGUGCUGAAGCAACAAAUGCCCUGCUUCCAGGAAAAGCCUCUAAGCAUCAGGUAACAUCAAAUCGUACCCCAAACCGACACAGGUGGUCAGGUAGAGAAUACCAAGGCGCUUGAGAGAACUCGGGUGAAGGAACUAGGCAAAAUGGUGCCGUAACUUCGGGAGAAGGCACGCUGAUAUGUAGGUGAAGUCCCUCGCGGAUGGAGCUGAAAUCAGUCGAAGAUACCAGCUGGCUGCAACUGUUUAUUAAAAACACAGCACUGUGCAAACACGAAAGUGGACGUAUACGGUGUGACGCCUGCCCGGUGCCGGAAGGUUAAUUGAUGGGGUCAGCGCAAGCGAAGCUCUUGAUCGAAGCCCCGGUAAACGGCGGCCGUAACUAUAACGGUCCUAAGGUAGCGAAAUUCCUUGUCGGGUAAGUUCCGACCUGCACGAAUGGCGUAAUGAUGGCCAGGCUGUCUCCACCCGAGACUCAGUGAAAUUGAACUCGCUGUGAAGAUGCAGUGUACCCGCGGCAAGACGGAAAGACCCCGUGAACCUUUACUAUAGCUUGACACUGAACAUUGAGCCUUGAUGUGUAGGAUAGGUGGGAGGCUUUGAAGUGUGGACGCCAGUCUGCAUGGAGCCGACCUUGAAAUACCACCCUUUAAUGUUUGAUGUUCUAACGUUGACCCGUGAUCCGGGUUGCGGACAGUGUCUGGUGGGUAGUUUGACUGGGGCGGUCUCCUCCUAAAGAGUAACGGAGGAGCACGAAGGUUGGCUAAUCCUGGUCGGACAUCAGGAGGUUAGUGCAAUGGCAUAAGCCAGCUUGACUGCGAGCGUGACGGCGCGAGCAGGUGCGAAAGCAGGUCAUAGUGAUCCGGUGGUUCUGAAUGGAAGGGCCAUCGCUCAACGGAUAAAAGGUACUCCGGGGAUAACAGGCUGAUACCGCCCAAGAGUUCAUAUCGACGGCGGUGUUUGGCACCUCGAUGUCGGCUCAUCACAUCCUGGGGCUGAAGUAGGUCCCAAGGGUAUGGCUGUUCGCCAUUUAAAGUGGUACGCGAGCUGGGUUUAGAACGUCGUGAGACAGUUCGGUCCCUAUCUGCCGUGGGCGCUGGAGAAUUGAGGGGGGCUGCUCCUAGUACGAGAGGACCGGAGUGGACGCAUCACUGGUGUUCGGGUUGUCAUGCCAAUGGCACUGCCCGGUAGCUAAAUGCGGAAGAGAUAAGUGCUGAAAGCAUCUAAGCACGAAACUUGCCCCGAGAUGAGUUCUCCCUGACUCCUUGAGAGUCCUGAAGGAACGUUGAAGACGACGACGUUGAUAGGCCGGGUGUGUAAGCGCAGCGAUGCGUUGAGCUAACCGGUACUAAUGAACCGUGAGGCUUAACCUU
rnacentral:rRNA from 1 species